rnacentral:rRNA from 1 species
AUUGAACGCUAGCGGGAUGCCUUACACAUGCAAGUCGAACGGAGCGGCGAACGGGUGAGUAAUGCAUCGGAAUGUGCCUAGUAGCGGGGGAUAACUACGCGAAAGCGUCGCUAAUACCGCAUACUAUCAGAGCGGCCGAUUUUGGAUUCGCUAGUUGGUGGGGUAACGGCCUACCAGGGCGACGAUCCGUAACUGGUUUGGGAGGAUGACCAGUCACACGGGAAAUGAGACACGGCCCAGACGCCUACGGGAGGCAGCAGUGGGGAAUUUUGGACAAUGGGGGAAACCCUGAUCCAGCCAGCCCGCGUGUGCGAUGAAGGCCUUCGGGUUGUAAAGCACUUUUGGUUGGGAAGCGUUACCUGCAGAAUAAGCACCGGCUAACUACGUGCCAGCAGCCGCGGUAAUAC